ACUCACCGUUUCUGAGGCAUCCCAUGUGAUAACUUUUCCCAUUCUUUCCAUUCUCCUUAUUCCCCAGGAUGGAGGGAGAAAGAGGAAAUGACAACAACCCAAUAGGGCCAAAGGGACUACAUAUCCUGUAGAAGGAACUGGUAUAUACUAAAGGCAAAAGGCUCUGCAAUGACUGUGACUGUGUGCGUGUCUCAGAGAGGUGUUGCAGAUAAUGCUGAGUCUGGUAGCCUUCCAGCCCUCCUCUUCCCACAUUCUUCUACCCUAAGAAGCUUGCCCUUCGUGGAUCUUUCUGGAACAGGCCUGAAGAGGUUGGUGGCAGGAUCAUGCACUACUCUUCUAAGAGAAGGCAGCUUUAAAUUAAGGAUGAAGUUUUACAGGACCUUUGCCGGUGAAGAUCCAUUCCAGCAUGAACCUGCUCACUGCCUGGCCACCCCCAGACCUUAAAGCCGUGGAGACUGUGGGGCCAAAACUCUGCCCCACAGGGGAGUUCAGUGUUCUCUCUCACCAGUGAUUACUCUUACCUGGAACAUAACUGGGGAAAUACUCCUCAUCUGAUCUCUUUAUGGAUCGCCCUUCAACAAUUUGCCACCAUGGACCCCACUCUAAUGCAUAUGAUAUUGGCCACAUCUACCACAGGAUACAGAGCGUUAAAAAGUUAAAAAAAAAUUCUAAAGAAAUGCAUUUUUUGUGUGAUCAGCUAUAACCAAAAACUGGAAUGGAAAGGUUUCCCAAGGAAAAAGGCAGAGCCUCCAUUUGAAAUGAAAAUGAAAAAUGGAAGAGUAGGGCUUUUAAAGUCAGAAACAAUAUAGAAAAGAGAAACCCUCAGAGUCAACCUGAUACAGAGUUAAGAUAUAUGAAGAAGAAAUAACGGCGCUUAGGAGUGAAUUCAAAGCAGCAUCCAAAUUCCAAUUUUUUUCCAUUCACAUGUAGGAGAAACAAGAAUUAAGAAGUAAAGAGCAAUGUGGUACCCCGAAAAAGGAGUCUCACAGGGACAAGCAUUUGAAGGAACUCUCACACUGAAAAUCCAAGCUAAUUAUCUGAAAAUAACAUCUGUUACAUUCAAGCUCCAAAGCACACACCUACUAACAAGAAGGAUCAGAAAAACGCUAGUUAUUUAUACAUCAUAUAUUUUAACUAACUGGAGGCAGUGCUGGAAUCAUAAUGAUUUCUGGAUCUGUGUCCCUCAUCACACAGCAGGAACUCAUGGCUCUUCCAGGAGACAUCAGAAUAACAGACCUACCUUGAAAACAUCUUCAGCUUUAACAAAUGCGGUGGGACUAGGAGCACAGCUUUGCGACUAGACCACAUAGGAUAAGAGAUGCCAGCCAUUAAAAAUCAGGUUUGCCAAACAUACUGCUGAGUUGCUUUUUCUUUGCUAAUCUGUGUAUCUGCUAUUACACAAAAGAGCUUUCAAGAACUGGCCUGAUGAAGCAUUCUCAUUCUUUCUUCCCAUAAAAAAGCAGACCUGGCACAGGCACAGUAAAUAAAAAUAACAAGCAUAUGAUGCCCAAGAUGCAUGUGAACAUUAAGUGACGUUGGCAGCCCCCGCAAAUAGAACUCCAGUUAAAAAUAGCCUUUGUCUAAAUGUGGAAAGUGAGUAAAUAUAGUAGCAGUUUCAGCUUACUAUAGAGGCUUACAAGCUCCAAGUAACGGAGCUUAUUAUAGAGCAUGUGCGUCAGAGAAGAGAAGAAAAGGGAGAAAAGAAAGACGACGCACUCUGCAAUUAGUAUCUGCAACGAGACAUAAAUUAAUUUUUUCCUCUGUUAUUUUUCCUGUUGUUUAAAAAACGGACAAGAGAAGAGCACUUUUGAAAUGCAGAUGUCUUCCUGUUAUAACAGUGCUAAAGAGAAAAAGAGGAAUUGAGGAGAAAGAUGAAACUAGCACCAAAAAGCACCACAGAGAGCUUUCUGCAGAAAGAAUGGUUGCACAGAAAAUGAGACGUGAAAGCGGACGACGGGACAGAUUUUGAUCUCAGUCUCACUGAGAAGAACAAGGAGUACAGUAACCUGGCUGGAGGGAGCUCUCCUGGAUUUGCAUGCACUUGUUGGACUGAAUAUAACGCAGCGAGCCAGCUUCUGGGCUGACUGAAAAGAAAGCGACAUCAAUGCUUUCCCCUGGCACUGUUCAUUCUUUACUUUCAAGGAAAUUUCACAAGUUUCUAGUGACUGUAGAACUGACUUCACUGAUAAAAAUGUAUCUGCUUUACUUGAUGUUGCACUUUAUAACCAAUUUUUGACUGUGAAAGUCCACAAACAAAAUCUGUGCGAUAAUUUAUACCCAAAGAAGAGACCUGCUGUGGAACCCAGAUAUACAUUAAGUAACAUCCUCAGGACGCUAUCUCCAAGCAUGACUCUUCAGUGAAUCCUUUAAUGUUUUUGCAUUCUGUGUUAGUUGGAUUGACAAAAAGGCAAGAAACAUUGGCUGUUUUGAGUUUCUGAUCUUUUCAAGUCAGGUGUGAGGGUGGGAAAGUUCGUUCGUUCUUCUUUCAAUGUGCAAUUCAAUUAAAGUCAAGAAAUAACUCCCCAAAACUGCAAGUCCUCCCCCACUUCACACAGAUAAAGGGCACUGUUCACGGGAUUCAGUGUGCUUUUUCUGUACUGGUUUCUUAUCUUCUUACUUUGGAUUGAGAACAAUGGGGUGACAGUGCAUAACAGAAAAAUAAAUGUUUUAGAGUGUUAGAUGACAUGCAGCGUGAUAUAAAAGUUGUGGCCGGGUAAGAGUUGUCAGCAAAGUUGCCUUAUUCAAGUGGCAUGGUAAACAAAUGCUAUAAAUUCCCAAGUAGAGCCUAAAUUAGCUUUUGGCAUAGUACAUCCCUAUAACAAGUUAAUUUUACUGCUCCAAGGAAUACCCUUAUAUGGUUCACUUAAGUAAUCAUGCUAAAUGAAUGUUUAAGUGAGAACAGUUUGCCAAAUGCAAAGCAAGAACCAUAUAUAACCUCUUACACAACUACAUAACACAGCAGUGCUGGCUAGUUUCCAAAAUUCUGGUUUAUGUACAAAUUAUAUCUGCUAAUUCUAACUAAUAAGUGAGCCAAAAAGGAGCUACCUGGAAAAUACUAGCAUGACUGUUUAGGAUUAAUAAUUAAUCACUUGUCAUGGUCUGUCUUCCUCAUAACUGUGCAAAUGAGACCUUCCCCCCUCCCCCAUUUCCAGUAUGGCAUAGAAUAGUUCUGGCAAGCUUUACUUCCAUUGUUUUGCUGAGAAAGAAGGAAUAAGAAGGGAAGGAAAAGAAAAAAUUGAUACGCCAAAGCUUCAGUAGUUAUCUCAAAAGAAAUUCAACCUUCUUCUAGUCUAGUGCAUCAUUGUUCUAAUAUGUGUGCUGUUUCCGUAGUAUUCCAUCUUACAGCCAUCGGGGAAGAUACAAAAUGUAUUCUGGAAAGGAAUUACGACGUGUGUAAGCUUAGUACUGAUUGCUGCUGUUUUUCCCCUUUGCAAUCCCAACUACCUGUAAAUGUGAAAAGUUAAACGAAUAGAGAGAUAACUGAACAGGUUCAAACAGACCUGCCUAUGCCUAUUAGUCAUCAUUCAUGCACUGUAACCAAAUAACCUGCAAGAGAUGCUGUCUUGUUUUUUUGCUAGAGAGUGCUGUUGAGUUCUUGCAUUCACAAUAAAUCUGUUUG